UAUUGCUAAACUGGUUCUUUAAUCUUAAUCUGCAUACUAAGUGGCUCAUAUCUUCUUUUUAAAUCAGUAGGCUCACUCCGAGGAGGGAGUAAUGAAACACCCUACAGUUCUGACACUACAGAAAAGAAAAAGAAAAUCAGGAGAUUGUUUCACUUUCUUUCUUCAGAACGAAACCCAGCAGAAAUGAAAGUGUGGGUGGAAGCCUUCAAAGUAAGACCCCCUGUUCCAGUUACGGAGAGAAGGGGUGUAGGGUCCCUUGGCUUGAGGAAGACAGAGGAGCCUACCAGUCACAUCUCUAUGUACAUGUGUGCAGGUUUGAAUCAAUCGAAGAACAGAGCUUUGGAGGUCUUCUAGUCAACCCCCCUUGUUCAAGCAGGACCCUAUACCCUUUGAGACAGAUGGCUGUCCAGUCUCUUCUUAAAAAACCCCAGUGAUGAAGCCCCUGCAACUUCUGAAGUAGCUGUUCCACUGGUGAGUUAUCCUCACUGGUAGGAAGUUUCUUCUAAAGUACUCGACUCUUUCUACAGCAUGGGCAAAACCAAGAAUUUUUGCAAUUCUUCAUCCUCAUCCUAGUGUUAUUCCCACAGGAGCAGGGUGAACUUUUCAGGUUAACGGACACCACCUCGCACGAUUAAACACAGCAUCUGGUUCUGUGCAAUUUUUCAUCUGCAUUUACUGUGCCUUGCUGUCUUUACUUAGGCCAUUUUUGCUACUGUCAGCAGUUAUUCCUCAGAGUGGAUCACUUUUUACCCACUGCCUUGGCACAUCUUAAAAUUUCUCCACUUCCCCACCCAAGAAUUGAUGGGAAAGUCCAAGACUGGAUGGAGUUAAUGUGAUCCUUAAAGGAACAGGUAAGUUCUUUAGCGUUUCUCAAUUCUGGCAGCUUGAAGACACGUGGAUUUCAACUCCUGGAUUUUCCAGAGUUGAAGUCCACACGUGUUCAGGUUGACAUGGUUGAGAAACACUGCUUUGAAGAACAAAAGGCAAUACAGGUAGUCCUCAAUUUACAAUGGACUGGAAUUUUGGUCGCUAAACAAUGCAGUUCAGUGAGUCGUGUGACUGCGCCAAAUUUUAUGACUUUUGCCAUGUUACACAUAUCACAAGAUCAUUAAGUGGAUCACAGGGUGAUCCAACUCCCCCAAACUGACUUUGCUUAUCAGAAGUCAGAAGGGAAGAUUACAAAUCAUGACCGUGUGAUGACAAAAUGCCGCAACUAUUGUAAAUUGAAAAAUUGAAAAAACAAUUGCUACCAACCUGCCUUCAAUCGAGGACCUGUAUACUGCAUGAGUCAAAAAGAGGGCUGUGAAAAUAUUUACAGACCCUUCACAUCCUGGACAUAAACUGUUGCAACUCCUACCCUCAAAACGAUGCUAUAGAGCACUGCACACCAGAACAACUAGACACAAGGAGAGUUUUUUCCCAAAAGCCAUCACUCUGCUAAACAAAUAAUUCCCUCAAAACUGUUCAACUAUUUGCAAAGUCUGCACUAUUACUGUUAAUCUUGUCAUCACUCUGUAUCACCCUCCCCUCCCACUUGUGACUAUAUGACUGUAACUUUGUCGCUUGUAUCCUUAUGAUUUAUACUGUUUCCUAGUAUGAUUUGAUUGCUUAUUGUACCCUAUGACUAUCAUUAAGCGUUGUACCUGAUGAUUCUUGACUGUUGAUGAAUGUAUCUUUUCUUUUAUGUAUACUGAGAGCAUUUGCACCAAGACAAAUUCCUUGUGGGUCCAACCACACAUGGCCAAUAAAGAAUUCUAUUCUAUUCUAAAGGUGAGCUGGUUGCCAAGUACCUGAAUUGUGAUCAUGUGCCUGGGAGUAGUGAUGGUUGUUAACUUCAAGAAUCGGUGUGGUAAGUCACUUUUUCCAAGGGUAUCAUAGCUUCAGAAUGUCAUUAAAGAGUUUUAAGCUGAGGACUAUCUAUAAAUGAGAUUCUGUAUGGACAUGGCAUUUUAGAAGAACAGAAACCCAUGGAACAGUAUAGCAAACAGCAUUGAUACAAACCAGGUUUAGUUGUGCUAUUUUACCUCGGGGCAUUUUCUCUAUUUUGCAUAGUUUUUCUUACUCUGAAAAGGAUUAGCGUGAUAGGUAUGUUGGUUUGCAUUUGGAAACGCCGUUUUCCAUACACUCUUCCCCUCCCCCCAUCAGUGGGGGAAUAUCACCAAAUUGUGAUUAUAAGGCUGAAAAACAAACGGUCCAACAGGUAGUCUCAAGAGUGUCAAAACGAACCUGUAAUGAAAGCUUUUCCGAUUUCCUGGCUGUGACAAAUGAAGAAAAUUAUAUCUGUAAUCUAGACAUAACAAUGUUUUAGGUUGUCUAUUUCAUAUUUUGUAUUUUGAUCUGUUGUGUUUUUUGAAAUGUAAGUGGGUAGAGUCUUUUCCCAUUUCCUUCUCAGCUGUUUUUGAAUACCAAGGAACUGUGUGACACACACAUAUGUCAGAAAGCUACAAAUCAUGGAUUGAGGUCACACAUCCGUAAUUUCAUCACAUUUGUGUUCCCGAGUUGUAAUCCUCUUGGCUGCCUCUGGGCACGGCUGCCAAAUUAUUCUCGUCACUUCCUGAAACAGAUUUCUGAGAGCUGUUUUUGUUUUUCUGUGCUAUAUUUAUUUUUUACAACCCCCAGUUUCUUCAGAAGAGUCUCCGAGUAUCCAAUAACCUUGGCUAAUCCUGAAUAAUGUUAAGUGGGGUUAAACCUGGUUAGAACUGAGGGGAAACCGACAUGAAUUCCCCAAAGUACUAGACUGGAAAGUUGGGGGGAGGGGAAAAUCCUUAAAAAGGUGAAUUAAUUCCACAUUUUAUAAAAAACAAUAUCAGUCUCUCCAUAAAACCACCAAGGAUCAAUCUUACAACUUUCCUUUCUUAAAAAAAAAGUUGUUUCACAACAAUACUCUUUAUUCAAAGUAACAGCCCUGACUCCAUUUAGCUUAUUGGUCACUUUUCAAAAGGGUGUGUAUGCCUGUGUACCUGUGUAUUUACACACACCCACACACAACAAAAUAAAUUACCAUCAUUUUUAUUUUCAAGACAGUCUCUCUGAAUAUUUAUCAAUUAUAUCUGUAAGUG
ensembl:lncRNA